GCACUGCUGAGGAGUCCUAUAAUAGGACGAAACAGUCGUCCAAUGC
rnacentral:hammerhead_ribozyme from 1 species